CUGCAUUACUCUCAUUGGCCCCCGUUUUUCAUGGCGAGACCCCUUUCCUGUUUCGAAACAAUCACGGCCACGUGGGAGCGAAUGAGCCGAGGUGAUGAGUUGCCAAAGCAAGGUCGCUCUGCUCUCGAGCGUUCGCCUUCAUGUUUAUGGUUUUGUAACUGGCACAGUCAUGUCAAAUCAGAGUGGAAGAUUGAUAGAGAAAUGAAAAGAAAGGGGAAAAAACAGAAAGUGGUUCAAGUAGGGUCCUGCGUUCCUCCUGUGUACGAGACUUGACUUGACAGAAGUCAAAUAUUCCAAAGCGCUGACUGCGUUCGUGAUGCAAUGUCGGUGUUUCUCAAUACAGAGAAAACCAAAUGCAAUUAAAGUCACUGUGUCUUUACCCUGUCUGUAUAAAACAUCUACAGUGAUAUGCUAGCGAGAUAAGUCGCUAAUCAGAUGAACAGUAUGUGUGUGUGUAGGAACAGAUGAUGAUGGUAAUGAUGAGGAGGCAGAGGAAAUAUCUUAGACCCCCUACCCUCACACGAGCCAAGAAAAGAAACAGAUCCAGUCGCUGGAGGGAGGGCGAGAGACAUAGAGAUGGAAUACGGCGCAGGGUCACGGAAGGAGACGGAAGGACAAUCGGAUGAAUGGAGGAGGGUGUGGGGUUUUUUUUUGAGUUAAAGGAAAUAUGGCACGGCGUUGACAGGAG
ensembl:lncRNA